rnacentral:rRNA from 1 species
AAAGGAAUUGACGGGGGCCCGCACAAGCGGAGGAACAUGUGGUUUAAUUCGAUGAUACGCGAGGAACCUUACCCGGGCUUGAAUUGCAUUUGAAUGUCGUGGAAACAUGUCAGCCAGCAAUGGCAAAUGUGAAGGUGCUGCAUGGUUGUCGUCAGCUCGUGCCGUGAGGUGUCGGCUUAAGUGCCAUAACGAGCGCAACCCUCAUCGAUAGUUACUAACAGGUCAUGCUGAGGACUCUAUCGAGACUGCCGGCGUAAGCUGUGAGGAAGGUGGGGAUGACGUCAAAUCAGCACGGCCCUUACGUCCGGGGCGACACACGUGUUACAAUGGGGGGGACAGAGGGCUGCCACUGCGCAAGCAGGCGCUAAUCCCUAAACCCCUUCUCAGUUCGGAUCGAAGUCUGCAACCCGACUUCGUGAAGCUGGAUUCGCUAGUAAUCGCGCAUCAGCCAUGGCGCGGUGAAUACGUUCCCGGGCCUUGUACACACCGCCCGU